CACAGUGGGGAAUAUUGGACAAUGGGGGGAAGCGUGAUCCAGCAAUGCCGCGUGUGUGAAGAAGGCCUUCGGGUUGUAAAGCACUUUCAGCAGGGAGGAUAAUGACGUUACCUGCAGAAGAAGCACCGGCUAACUUCGUGCCAGCAGCCGCGGUAAUACGAAGGGUGCAAGCGUUAAUCGGAAUUACUGGGGGUAAAGCGCGCGUAGGUGGUUUGUUAAGUCAGAUGUGAAAGCCCCGGGCUCAACCUGGGAAUUGCAUUUGAAACUGUCUGACUAGAGUAUGGUAGAGGGAAGGGGAAUUCCAGGUGUAGCGGUGAAAUGCGUAGAUAUAUGGAGGAACAYCAGUGGGGAAGGGGCCUUCCUGGAGCAAUACUGACACUGAGGUGCGAAAGCGUGGAGGCAAACAGGAUUAGAUACCCUGGUAGUCCACGCCGUAAACGAUGUGAACUAGCUGUUGAGGAGGUAUAACUUCUUAGGGCGCAAGC
rnacentral:rRNA from 1 species